rnacentral:rRNA from 1 species
UACGAAGGGGGCUAGCGUUGCUCGGAUUUACUGGGCGUAAAGGGCGCGUAGGCGGAUGACCAAGUUGGGGGUGAAAUCCCGGGGCUUAACCUCGGAAUUGCCUCCGAUACUGGCAGUCUCGAGUGCGGGAGAGGUGAGUGGAAUUCCCAGUGUAGAGGUGAAAUUCGUAGAUAUUCGGAAGAACACCAGUGGCGAAGGCGGCUCACUGGCCCGGUACUGACGCUGAGGUGCGAAAGCGUGGGGAGCAAACAGG